GGGCGCAUAGCUCAGUUGGUCAGAGCGUCUCGUUUACACCGAGAAGGUCAGGGGUUCGAGUCCCUUUGCGCCCA
rnacentral:tRNA from 1 species